UAAUUGAAGAGUUUGAUCAUGGCUCAGAUUGAACGCUGGCGGCAGGCCUAACACAUGCAAGUCGAGCGGUAACAGGAGAAAGCUUGCUUUCUUGCUGACGAGCGGCGGACGGGUGAGUAAUGUAUGGGGAUCUGCCCGAUAGAGGGGGAUAACUACUGGAAACGGUGGCUAAUACCGCAUAAUGUCUACGGACCAAAGCAGGGGCUCUUCGGACCUUGCACUAUCGGAUGAACCCAUAUGGGAUUAGCUAGUAGGUGGGGUAAAGGCUCACCUAGGCGACGAUCUCUAGCUGGUCUGAGAGGAUGAUCAGCCACACUGGGACUGAGACACGGCCCAGACUCCUACGGGAGGCAGCAGUGGGGAAUAUUGCACAAUGGGCGCAAGCCUGAUGCAGCCAUGCCGCGUGUGUGAAGAAGGCCUUCGGGUUGUAAAGCACUUUCAGCGAGGAGGAAGGGUGGUGUGUUAAUAGCGCAUCACAUUGACGUUACUCGCAGAAGAAGCACCGGCUAACUCCGU
rnacentral:rRNA from 1 species